CUUAUCUUAGCGGCGGACGGGUGAGUAAUGCUUAGGAAUCUGCCAUUUAGUGGGGGACAACAUUCCGAAAGGAAUGCUAAUACCGCAUACGUCCUACGGGAGAAAGCAGGGGAUCUUCGGACCUUGCGCUAAAUGAUGAGCCUAAGUCGGAUUAGCUAGUUGGUGGGGUAAAGGCCUACCAAGGCGACGAUCUGUAGCGGGUCUGAGAGGAUGAUCCGCCACACUGGGACUGAGACACGGCCCAGACUCCUACGGGAGGCAGCAGUGGGGAAUAUUGGACAAUGGGCGGAAGCCUGAUCUAGCCAUGCCGCGUGUGUGAAGAAGGCCUUUUGGUUGUAAAGCACUUUAAGCGAGGAGGAGGCUACUAGUACUAAUACUACUGGAUAGUGGACGUUACUCGCAGAAUAAGCACCGGCUAACUCUGUGCCAGCAGCCGCGGUAAUACAGAGGGUGCGAGCGUUAAUCGGAUUUACUGGGCGUAAAGCGUGCGUAGGCGGCUUUUUAAGUCGGAUGUGAAAUCCCCGAGCUUAACUUGGGAAUUGCAUUCGAUACUGGGAAGCUAGAGUAUGGGAGAGGAUGGUAGAAUUCCAGGUGUAGCGGUGAAAUGCGUAGAGAUCUGG
rnacentral:rRNA from 1 species